UAGUUUGCAUGUAAGUCAGGAUGUUCACUAAUUGAAAUAAAUAAUAGUAAACUGCGAAAGGUUUAUUAGCAUAAAGCUUCCAAGUCAAAGCUUCUUUGUGUUUACUUCAGUCAUAGCUAAAAUAAAAAAUUUGCAUUUCAUAUUCUAUUGGGUAUGAACAAAAAUCAAUAUCUUACAAUAAAAACAGCAGGUGAUUAAUAUUGAACAUUUAGUGAACAUAACAAUUUCUUUAUUAUCAAGCAGAAGCAAAGGCAUCAUGUAGUUGGAUGUGUCGUCUUUAAUGCUUCUUAAUUUGUGAAGAAUCGUCCACCAAAACAGUCAACAAGAUCUUAAAGAUCUUUGGUCAAUUUAGAUGGUAUGUCAACGUACAACCAUUAAUAUUAUAGUGAAUAUAGGACCAGAAUAUUUACAUCGAAGGAGAGUUGGAAGUUUAUUAUCUAGAUCUUUGUAUUUCGCAAAUUUCGCGUUAGGUGUAAAAAUCAACAGGAUGUGUGAAAAUAAUGACACGUCACAGAAUUUCAGUUAUGCAUAUCAUAAAUGAGGAAUGAUUUUAAUUUUUCUGACCUGACUAUCUUCAAGAAGAACAACAUUUUUUUACUUCUUAUUGGAAUCUCUUGCAGAAUAUCUUAUGCAUGAUCAACUGAAAACAAUUAUCUUUGAUAAAUUUUAAUUGAAAUCAACGUAAAAUUCAUUAAUAUUGACACAAAAUUGAUGAUUUUUAAGCCAUAUUGGUCGUUAUCAUUCUUAGUUGCAUGUGUUUCUUGUUCUGCUUGGUUGGUGUGUGCAUUAACACUUAUGACUCAUACAUCACGGAUAGUCAGAAAAAAUGUAAACUUAGGUAAAGUUUGUUUGGGAAAAAUUCUGCAUGGUUGUCAUUUAACACUACAUCACCAAUGGUAAACAAGAUAUCUUUGUCCCCCAAAGCAACAAAAUAAGUGUUCAAUUGAUGCAUGAUGCAGUCAAGAGAAAAAAUUAAUAACUUCUAUUUGCAAGAAAUACUUACUGAUGUUACAAAGAAACUUGCUGAUCUUUUUAUCCAAAAGUGGAACACUUAUUACAAAAAAUCUCUCGGAGAAUGGGAAAAUACAAACUAAGUGGGAUUGUACGACAUUAUUUGCAGCAAU